rnacentral:rRNA from 1 species
AACGAACGCUGGCGGCAGGCCUCAAACAUGCAAGUCUAGGGGGUGUAGCAAUACAUCACCGGCGGACGGGUGCGUAACACGUGGGAAUAUACCUUUUGGUUCGGAACAACGCAGGGAAACUUGCGCUAAUACCGAAUGUGCCCUUACGGGGAAAGAUUUAUCGCCAAAGGAUUAGCCCGCGUAGGAUUAGCUAGUUGGUGAGGUAAUGGCUCACCAAGGCUCCGAUCCUUAGCUGUUCUGAGAGGAAGAUCAGCCACACUGGGACUGAGACACGGCCCAGACUCCUACGGGAGGCAGCAGUUGGGAAUCUUGGACAAUGGGGGAAACCCUGAUCCAGCCAUGCCGCGUGAGUGAUGAAGGCCUCGGUUGUAAACGUACUUCGUACGGGACGGAGUAAUAGACGGUACCCGUACGAAGAAGAC